UACGUAGGGUGCGAGCGUUGUCCGGAAUUACUGGGCGUAAAGAGCUCGUAGGUGGUUUGUCGCGUUGUCCGUGAAAACUCACAACUCAAUUGUGGGCGUGCGGGCGAUACGGGCAGACUGGAGUACUGCAGGGGAGACUGGAAUUCCUGGUGUAGCGGUGAAAUGCGCAGAUAUCAGGAGGAACACCGGUGGCGAAGGCGGGUUCUCUGGGCAUGACUGACGUGAGG
rnacentral:rRNA from 1 species